AUUAAAUUGCUCGUUUUAAUUAAUCCCCAUUUAAGAAUUAGAAGGAAGGAUCAGAGCACGCGUAGUCUAGUCUAUAUAAGGGCCAUCAGUGCGUGCUGUAUUGCUAUCUGAACUCAUCAUUCUUCUCCUUCUCCUUCUUCUUCUUCCUCCUCUCAUUAUUCGCUGUGCCAGCUAUGGUUAAUUGCCAAAGAUGAAAUUAAGCAGCUAGCCGGGAAUCGCCGGCGGCCUGACAUUGGGAUCGGAGGCCAUGGUGCAGCCAAGGAUGACUUGCCGAUCGAUCGAUCUAUCUAUGAAGCUAAGCUAGCUGGCCAUGGAUCCAUCCAUCAAUUGGCAAGUUGUUCUUGGCUACAUCUUGGCCCCUGCUCCUCAUGUAAGGCCGGCCUGUGGCGACGACGAUCGAAGGCGAGCGCUUCAGCUUUGUUAAUUAGCUCUUGUUCUUGGCCAAAUCCAACGCAAUUUUGCAAGCCUAAUCGCAGUGUAAGUUAAUUUGAUGAUCAGUUAGCUUAAUUAGUUAUAAUUUGCUGCCAUUCAUGCGUAUUUCAGAUCGAGCGUACUGUAUCAUGUUAAUUAGUAAUCAUGUUCUUCUAUAAUUUAACUUCAAUUUGAUAAGUACUACCUCCUCUAUAAAAAAGUCUA
rnacentral:precursor_RNA from 1 species